AUGUCUAAUAUUUCUAGAAACAUUAACUAGAAAAAUCUAUAUAAAUAUAUACUAGAAAAAUCGAUGUAAAUAUCUAAGCAAUAUAUGUGGUGAUAAAUGUGGUAAUGUGUCAAGAAGAAUAUGUGGUUUUAUAAAGUCUAUCUAGAGUAUUCUACGAAAAUAUCUUGUCCAAAAGUCUUAUGUAAAUAUAUGUUCUAGGAUUCUCUAGAAAAUGUGUAAACUAGAAGUUUCAUAUAAACAUUAUAAAAAGGGGUAGUGCCCUCCAUUUUGUAACAAGCCAAAAAAAGUGUGUAAGUUCUGAAAUUGAGAAAUACAAGUUUCCUUUUGUUCACUUCCUUCUUUCUAUUAGUGUUGUCCUCCUUAAAACCUUAGCCAAUCCAAGUUAGUAAACCCUUCCUUCUUCCAACAAACUGGAAUCAGAGCCUUAAGGUUCUUGUGAAAAAUGACAAGUGGGAUGAUUCCUUUUCAAGUUCCCCAACUCAACAAGGAUAACAACGACAAUUGGAGCAUAAGGAUGAAAGCGUUGCUCGGGUCGCAAGAUGCAUGGGAGAUCGUAGAGAAAGGCUACACUGAGCCACAAGACGAGGUCGCUCUAUCCUAAACACAAAAAGAUAGUUUGAAGGAUGCAAGGAAGAAGGAUAAGAAAGUGCUCACUCUCAUCUAUCAAUCCUUAGAUAAAGGCAUGUUCGAGAAAGUAACUUGUGCUAAUACAAGUAAGGAAGCAUGUAAGAUCUUACAAAACUCCCACAAAGGAAUUGAGAAGAUGAAAAGGGUUCGACUCAAAACAUUUCGAGGUGAGUUUGAAGCUUUACAUAUGAAAGAAUCGGAAUUAAUUUCUGAUUACUUCUCUAGAGUAUUGGCUAUUGUGAAUCAAUUAAAGAGGAAUGGAGAAAAGUUGAACGACAAUCGAGUAAUUGAGAAGAUACUUAGUCUUUAGAUUCUAAAUUUGACUACAUAGUUGUAACCACUUGAAAUCUAAAGAUCUAGAUAGUAUGAGUGUCGAUCAACUCAUAGGAUCUUUACUAGCCCAUGAGGAAAGACUAAAGAAGAAGGUGAAAUAAGAACUAUUAGAGCAAACUCUUCAAACAAAGCUCACUUUGAACGAGGAUGAAGGAAGGUUUGGUAGUAAAAGAAGCCAAAGAAGAAAAGGACGAGGCGAAGAUCGAGGAAGAAGUGCAUUCUACAAGGAGGAAAGAAGACAAAGCUCAUUUUACACUAGAAGUCAUAGAAGAGGAAAAGGUACGAGGCAAAAUGAAGGGCCAAGGUAUGACAAAUCUCAAAUAAAAUGUUACAAUUGUCAAAAACUUAGUCAUUAUGCUUCAGAAUGUAGAAAUAUUACUAACCAAGUUGAGGAGAAAGCCAACUACGCUUGGCGGGAAAGUGAAGUGGAUCCUACGCUACUGUUAACUUACAAAGGUGAAGAGAACAGAGAAAAGAACACUUGGUAUUUGGAUACAGGAGCAAGCAACCAUAUGUGUGGAAGAAAAAACAUGUUUGUGGAGCUUGAUGAAUCAGUAAAUGGUAACAUUAUCUUUGGAGAUGAAUACAAGAUCCUAGUGAAAGGAAAAGGUAAAAUCUUGAUCCGCUUGAAAAAUGGUAUGCAUCAAUUUAUCUCAAAUGUUUAUUAUGUGCCCAAUAUGAAGAAUAACAUUUUAAGUUUAGGACAACUCUUAGAGAAGGGCUAUGAUAUUCAUUUGAAAGAUCAUAGUCUUUCAAUAAGAGAUCAAAGAGAAAAUUUGAUUAUCAAAAUCCCUAUGAUAAGAAGUAGAAUGUUUGCGUUAAACAUUCAAAAUGAUUUUUCUAAAUGCUUAAAAGCUUGUUUUAAAGAUUCAUCUUAGCUUUGGCACUUGAGAUUUGGACAUCUUAAUUUUGGAGGUUUAAAGUUGUUGAGUAAGAAGAAUAUGGUGAAAGGUUUGUCUCCAAUAAAUCAUACGGAUCAAUUAUGUUAAGGAUGCUUACUUGGAAAGCAUUCGAGGAAUUUUUUUCCAAAAGAAGCAUCUACAAGAGCUAAGUAGUCGCUAGAACUUGUACACUCGGAUGUUUGUGGGCCAAUCAAUCCAAGCUCUCUCGGUAAGAGCAAUUACUUUGUUCUUUUAUGGAUGAUUUUAGGAGAAAGACUUGAGUCUAUUUUCUCAAACAAAAAUCGAAAGUUUUUGAAACUUUCAAAAGGUUUAAAGCUCUUGUUGAAAAAGAAAGUGGCUAUAGCAUAAAAACCAUGAGAUCAGAUAGAGGAGGAGAAUUCAACUCCAAAGAGUAGAGGAAUAUUGUGAGGUGAAUGGAAUUCAUCGCCCAUUGACUGUUCCAUACUCUCCAUAACAAAAUGGAGUAGCUGAAAGAAAGAAAAGAUUCAUUCUUAACAUGGCCCUCUGCAUGCUCAAAAGUAAGAGAUUACCCAAAGAACUUUGGGCCGAAACUGUUAAUUGCACCGUAUAUCUGUCUAAUCGGUUGCCUUCUAGAAGUGUGUGGAAUAGGACACCACAAGAAGCAAGGAGUGGAAAAAAGCCCAGUAUCUCUCAUCUACAAGUAUUUGGGAGCAUUGCAUAUGCUCAUGUGUCAGAUAAAAACGGUCCAAGCUAGAUGAUAGGAGUGAAAGGAAUGUUUUUAUCGGUUAUGACUCCCGCUCUAAAGGCUACAAGUUGUAUGAUCCAAACAAGGAGAAGAUCACCAUAAGUAGAGAUGUUGAGUUUGAUGAAGAAGGAGCUUAGGGUUGGGUUGCCCAAGUAGAAGACUAUAACUUCUUACCAUUUUUUGAGAAAGAAGAACAUGAGAAUGGAGAGCAGCAAGAGCUUAUUAGCCUACCUCUAUCACUAACUCAUGGAUAUGCUUCUCCAUCAUCUUCACAAGGAGAAAGCUUAGUGAAGGGACACCACGGAUGAGGAGCCUACAAGAGCUAUAUGAGGUAACAGAAAAUCAAAAUGAUCUCACACUCUUUUGUCUUUUUGUCGAUUGUUAGCCAAUAGGGUAUGAAGAAGCAGCGCAAAAUAAAAUAUGGAGAGAUGUCAUUGUUGAAGAGAUUAAGGCUAUUGAGAAAAAUGACACGUGGGAGAUGACAACUCUUCCCAAAGGAAAGAGACUAAUCGGAGUUAAGUGGGUGUACAAGGCAAAGAAGAACGCUAAAGGAGGAGUCGAAAGAUACAAAGAAAGAUUGGUUGCCAAAGGCUACAACCAACGGUCGGGAAUCAAUUGUGAAGAGGUAUUUGCUCCUGUUGCUCGUUUAGAAAUCAUAAGAUUAAUUAUCUCUCUUGCAGCACAAAAUAAGUGGAAGAUAUUUCAAAUGGAAGUGAAAUCAGCUUUUCUAAGUGUUAUCUUGAAGAAGAAACUUAUGUGGAGCAACUAAUGGGCUAUAAAAUAAAAGGACAAGAAGGUAAAGUCUUAAAACUAAAAAAGCUUUAUAUGGGUUGAAACGGGUUCCAAGGGCAUGGAAUAGUAGAAUUGACAAGUACUUUCUAGAAAAUAAUUUCAUGAAAUAUCCUCACGAGUAUGUCCUUUAUAUAAAGAAAAAUGAGAAAGGAGAUAUUUUGCUUUUUUUUUAUGUAGAUGAUCUUAUAUUUACACAAAAUAAUCAAAGUAUGAUCAUUGAGUUUAAGAAGGCCAUGGCUCAAGAAUUCGAGAUGACGGAUAUUGGCCUUAUGGCCUACAAUCUUGGGAUUGAAGUAAAGCAAAUGUGGGAUUGCAUCUUUAUCUCACAAACAAGAUAUGUGAAAAAAAAUUCUAAAAAAAUUCAAUAUGGAGGAUUGCAAGCUGUAUGCACCCACAUCGAAUGCGGAACCAAGUUGUCGAAGAAUGAUGACGGUGAAAAAGUAAGCCCAACACUUUUUAAGAGUCAUGUUGGAAGUCUAAGAUACUUGAUGUGCACAAAACCAGCUAUCCUUUUUGGAGUUAGAC
rnacentral:lncRNA from 1 species